AAAAACUUAAUUCCUGAAUUUCCGUGUCUAACGUUUGAUCGUUCGUCUUAUUUUAAAAAAUUAUAAAAAAAAUUAAAAAAUAAGCCAUGUAUAAAGUUUUAUUCAUGUUUUAUCAUUUAACAAUAAUGAAAAUUCUAAUCAUGCAAAAAUUUUAUAUAAGACGGACGGUCAAACAUCAGACACGGAAACCUA
rnacentral:pre_miRNA from 1 species